rnacentral:rRNA from 1 species
CCUACGGGAGGCUGCAGUGAGGAAUAUUGGUCAAUGGACGCAAGUCUGAACCAGCCAUGCCGCGUGAAGGAUGACGGCCCUAUGAGUUGUAAACUGCUUUUGUACGAGGGUAAACCCCGAAACGUGUCUCGGGAUGAAUCGAUCGUAUGAAAAAGGAACGGCUAACUUCGGGCCAGCAGCCGCGGUAAUACGGAGGAUCCGAGGGUUACCCGGAUUUGAUGGGUGUAAAGGGGCCGUAGGCGGUUUGAUAAGUUGGAGGUGAAAUGGCGGGGCUCAACCCCGGAACUGCCUUUAAUACUGUUGGACUAGAGAAUAGUUGCGGUAGGCGGAAUGUAUGGUGUAGCGGUGAAAUGCUUAGAGAUCAUACAGAACACCGAUUGCGAAGGCAGCUUACCAAACUAUAUCUGACGUUGAGGCACGAAAGCGUGGGUAGCAAACAGGAUUAGAUACCCUUGUAGUC